ACCAGUUGUACCAGUGUAGGACACCAGGAUGUUAUAUUGUCAUUCCUUUAAAACAUUUUUUUGGUGUUACUGUUCCUUUAAAUCUUCUUCAACUCUACUUGGAGAAUGUGUUAAAUAUUAAAUAGCAUACUAAUUGACUAAGCAAGUAAAUGCUCAAUUAAAAUGACAAAGAAAGGUGCAAGAAAACAAAGGAAAAGGAACAGAAAGGAGAAGGUUAAGUUAGAAAUCCAGGAGGUGCUUCAGGGAUUGAUUCCCUGUGAAGAAUGACCUGAUUAAAUGCAGGUACAGGAGAAAAAGAGACAGAUUUUUCAAUCUGAAAGGAGUAUAGUACAACUGUGCUGCAGCCCCCACAGAGAAGCUUUAUUACUGGCAGUGCAGCAGCAUGAGGAGAGAAUACAAACUUCCCCACUCGCUGCUCUGAAUACUAAAAUCUAAAGCUCUCUCUCUCACGUUCAUAUGCUGCCUGUGACAAUUCUGUCUGUCUGAGAUAUGAAUAUUCUGUUUUAGCAACUCUGAAGAAGUGGCUACCCAGUGGAUGAAUAUGUCAUUUCUUCUGCAAGCUGCAUGGACCAUAAAAGUAUGGACUCACCUAUCCUUAGCCCCAUGUUUGUGCUUUGGUGCAUUCUAACUUGGUGGCGAAAGAAGAAACAGCAAAUAGAAAAGUUGUGACUACAACUGCAAACAUUAUAGAGUACAUGUGUUUCCCCACGAUGCAGCGUUUUUCCCAGAAUUCUAGCAUCAUUGCAGUUAAAAGGGCACAAUUGAGCACGUGUUUCAUCAUAAAUGGAGCACCAUUAUUUGUGAAGAUUGCCUGGAGUAAUUUUUGGUACUAUGGGAAUAACUCCAGUACUGGCUUGUAAAAAAAUAAAAACAUUUAUUGAAACACA